UACAGAGGUGGCAAGCGUUGUUCGGAAUUACUGGGCGUAAAGGGCGCGUAGGCGGCCUUCUAAGUCAGACGUGAAAUCCCCGGGCUUAACCUGGGAAUGGCAUUUGGGACUGCAAGGCUCGAGUGCGGCAGAGGAGACUGGAAUUCCUGGUGUAGCAGUGAAAUGCGUAGAUAUCAGGAGGAACACCGAUGGCGAAGGCAGGUCUCUGGGCUGACACUGACGCUCAUGCACGAAAGCGUGGGGAGCAAACAGG
rnacentral:rRNA from 1 species